rnacentral:rRNA from 1 species
GUAGGUGGCAAGCGUUGUCGGGAAUUAUUGGGGCGUAAAGCGCGCGCAGGCGGUUCUUUAAGUCUGAUGUGAAAGCCCACGGGCUCAACCGUGGAGGGUCAUUGGAAACUGGAGAACUUGAGUACAGAAGAGGAAAGCGGAAUUCCACGUGUAGCGGUGAAAUGCGUAGAGAUGUGGAGGAACACCAGUGGCGAAGGCGGCUUUCUGGUCUGUAACUGACGCUGAGGCGCGAAAGCGUGGGGAGCAAACAGGAUUAGAUACCCUGGUAGUCCACGCCGUAAACGAUGAGUGCUAAGUGUUAGGGGGUUUCCGCCCCUUAGUGCUGCAGCUAACGCAUUAAGCACUCCGCCUGGGGAGUACGGCCGCAAAGGCUG